rnacentral:rRNA from 1 species
GCGAAGGCAGCUUUCUGGAUCAUUACUGACACUGAGGAACGAAAGCAUGGGUAGCGAAGAGGAUUAGAUACCCUCGUAGUCCAUGCCGUAAACGAUGUGUGUUAGACGUUGGAAAUUUAUUUUCAGUGUCGCAGGGAAACCGAUAAACACACCGCCUGGGGAGUACGACCGCAAGGUUAAAACUCAAAUGAAUUGACGGGGACCCGCACAAGUAGUGGAGCAUGUGGUUUAAUUCGAAGAUACGCGCAGAACCUUACCAACACCUGACAUGUUCGUCGCGACUCUAAGAAAUUAGAGUUUUCGGUUUGGCCGGACGAAACACAGGUGCUGCAUGGCUGUCGUCAGCUCGUGUCGUGAGAUGUUGGGUUAAGUCCCGCAACGAGCGCAACCCUCACUUUUAGUUGCCAUCAUUAAGUUGGGCACUCUGAAAGAACUGCCAGUGAUAAGCUGGAGGAAGGUGGGGAUGACGUCAAGUCCUCAUGGCCCUUACGUGUUGGGCUACACACGUGCUACAAUGGCAUCUACAACAGGAAGCAAAACGGCAACGUUAAGCAAAUCCCGAAAAGAUGCCUCAGUUCGGAUUGCACUCUGCAACUCGAGUGCAUGAAGCUGGAAUUACUAGUAAUCGUGGAUCAGCGUGCCACGGUGAAUGCGUUCCCGGGUCUUGUACACACCGCCCGUCACACCAUGGGAGUUGGUUCUACCUUAAGGCAAGGUUUUAAACCCUUGACCACGGUAUAGUCAGCGACUGGGGUGAAGUCGUAACAAGGUAACCGUA